UACGGGGGGGGCAAGCGUUGUUCGGAUUUACUGGGCGUAAAGGGCUCGUAGGUGGCCAAUUAAGUCGGACGUGAAAUCCCUCGGCUUAACCGGGGAACUGCGUCUGAUACUGGAUGGCUUGAGUUUGGGAGAGGGACGCGGAAUUCCAGGUGUAGCGGUGAAAUUCGUAGAUAUUCGGAGGAACACCAGUGGCGAAGGCGGCUCACUGGCUCGAUACUGACGCUGAGGUGCGAAAGCGUGGGGAGCAAACAGG
rnacentral:rRNA from 1 species